CCUACGGGAGGCAGCAGUGGGGAAUAUUGGACAAUGGGCGAAAGCUUGAUCCAGCAACGCCGCGUGAGGGAUGACGGCCUUCGGGUUGUAAACCUCUUUCAGCAGGGACGAAGCGAAAGUGGCGGUACCUGCAGAAGAAGGACCGGCCAACUACGUGCCAGCAGCCGCGGUAAUACGUAGGGUCCGAGCGUUGUCCGGAAUUAUUGGGCGUAAAGGGCUCGUAGGCGGUUUGUCGCGUCGGGAGUGAAAACUCAGGGCUCAACCCUGAGCGUGCUUCCGAUACGGGCAGACUAGAGGUAUUCAGGGGAGAACGGAAUUCCUGGUGUAGCGGUGGAAUGCGCAGAUAUCAGGAGGAACACCGGUGGCGAAGGCGGUUCUCUGGGAAUUACCUGACGCUGAGGAGCGAAAGCAUGGGGAGCGAACAGGAUUAGAUACCCUGGUAGUCCAUGCCGUAAACGUUGGGCGCUAGGUGUGGGGACCUUCCACGGUUUCCGUGCCGCAGCUAACGCAUUAAGCGCCCCGCCUGGGGAGUACGGCCGCAAGGCUAAGACUCAAAGAUAAUCGACGNGNGAGAGCGACGACGACGACGACGAGGAGGAG
rnacentral:rRNA from 1 species